rnacentral:rRNA from 1 species
ACGAACGCUGGCGGCGUGCCUAACACAUGCAAGUCGAGGGAGAAAGCCCGCAAGGUGAGUAACCGGCGAACGCGGUGCGUACGUAACAGUGGAUAAUCUACCUUCCUGACUGGGAUAACUGGCCGAAAGGCUUGCUAAUACCAGAUGAGACCACGGCGUCUUCGGGCGCUGAGGGAAAAGGUGGCCUCUGCAUGCAAGCUAUCGCAGGGAGAUGAGUCCGCGGCCCAUCAGCUAGUUGGCGGGGUAAAAGCCCACCAAGGCAACGACGGGUAGCUGGUCUGAGAGGAUGAUCAGCCAACACUGGAACUGAGACACUGGUCCAGACUCUACGGAGAGGCAAGCAGUGGGGAAUCUUGCGCAAUGUGCGAAAGACCUGACGCAAGCAACGCAGCGCUGUGCGAUGAAGGUCUUCGGAUCGUAAAGCACUGUCGCGAGGGAAGAUACGCCACCGCCGAACAAGCGUGAGAGCUGAGACGUUAAGCUCGAGAGGUAAGCACCGGCUAUAAUCUGUGCCAGCAGCCGCGGUAAUACAGAGGGUGCGAAGCGUGUUAGGAGUAUAAUUGGGCGUAAAGCGCUGUAGGCGGCCUGUCAAGUCGCGUGUGAAAUCCAUGGCUAACCAGGGAAGGUGCGCGCGAAAAUGAAGGGCUGAGUGCCGGAGAGGGUCGCGGAAUUCCCGGUGUAGAGUGAAAUCGUAGAUACAGGGAGGAACACCAGUGGCGAAGGCGAACUGGACGGAAACUGACGCUGAGACGCGAAAGCGUGGGAGCAAACAGGAUUAGAUACCCUAGGUAGUACACGCUGUAAACGAUGGGUAGCUAGUGUGGCGGGUUUGACCCGCAGUGACGCAGCUAAAGCAAUAAGCAACCCGCCUGGGAAGUACGGCCGCAAGGCUAAACUCAAAGGGAUUGACGGGGGGCCCGCACAAGCGAUGGAGCAUGUGGUUAAUCGACGCAACGCGCAGAACCUACCUGGUCUUGACAUCCUGGAAGCUCCCUGAGAGCAAAGGAGGUGCCCUUAGUGGAACAAGAGACGGUGCUGAUGGCUGUCGUCAGCUCGUGUAGUGAGAUGUUGGGUAAGCCCGCAACGAGGCAACCCUCGACUUUAGUUGCAUAUGAGUUGGGCACUCUAAAAGGGACUAGACGGUGUUAAACGGAGGAAGGUGGGAUGACGUCAAGUCCUCAUGGCCUUAUGACCAGGGCUAACACGUGCUACAAUGGCCGGUACAAAGCGACUGCAAGUCGCGAGACGGAGCCAAUAGCAAAAACCGGUCUCAGUUCGGAUUGAAGUCUGCAACUCGACUUCAUGAAGUCGGAAUCGCUAGUAAUCGGCGGAUCAGCACGACGCGGUGAAUACGUUCCCGGGCCUUGUACAACCGCCCGUCACACCAUGGGAGUCAGUUGCUCCAGAAGUGGCUGCCCAACCCGCAAGGGAAGGCGGCCCCUAGGAGUGACUGGUGACUGGGGCU